rnacentral:rRNA from 1 species
AAGUCGUAACAAGGUCUCCGUUGGUGAACCAGCGGAGGGAUCAUUAUAGAGUUGUAAAACUCCCUAAAACCCAUGUGAACAUACCUGUUGCCUCGGCGGGCCUACCCCGUAGCUACCCCGUAGCUGCCCGGGAGUGACCGCCGAAGGACCACCAAACUCUUUCAUCUCUGUAUCUCUGAGAAAAAAAACAAAUAAGUUAAAACUUUCAACAACGGAUCUCUUGGUUCUGGCAUCGAUGAAGAACGCAGCGAAAUGCGAUAAGUAAUGUGAAUUGCAGAAUUCAGUGAAUCAUCGAAUCUUUGAACGCACAUUGCGCCCAUUAGUAUUCUAGUGGGCAUGCCUGUUCGAGCGUCAUUUAGUCCACUUAAGCCCUUUGCUUAGUAUUGGGAAUCUACUCCUACCCUGUAGCUGUAGUUCCUCAAAGACAGCGGCGGAGUCGUGGUUUUGCUCUGAGCUUAGUAAUUCUUUUCUAGCUUUCGAGUCGCCACUGCCCCCUUUGCCGUAAAACACCCUUUAUUUUUUAAUGGUUGACCUCGGAUCAGGUAGGAAUACCCGCUGAACUUAAGCAUAUCAAUAAGCGGAGGAAAAGAAACCAACAGGGAUUGCCCCAGUAACGGCGAGUGAAGCGGCAACAGCUCAAAUUUGAAAUCUGGCCUUCUGGUCCGAGUUGUAAUUUGUAGAAGAUGCUUUUGGUGCGGUGCCUUCCGAGUUCCCUGGAACGGGACGCCUUAGAGGGUGAGAGCCCCGUACGGUUGGACGCCUAGCCUCUGUAAAGCUCUUUCAACGAGUCGAGUAGUUUGGGAAUGCUGCUCAGAAUGGGAGGUAAAUUUCUUCUAAAGCUAAAUAUUGGCCAGAGACCGAUAGCGCACAAGUAGAGUGAUCGAAAGAUGAAAAGCACUUUGAAAAGAGGGUUAAAUAGCACGUGAAAUUGUUGAAAGGGAAGGACUUAUGACCAGACUUUUUCCUAGCGAAUCAUCCGGCGUUCUCGCCGGUGCACUUCUCUAAGUUUAGGCCAGCAUCGGUUUCUGUAGGGGGAUAAAAACUUUAGGAAUGUAGCUCCCCCGGGAGUGUUAUAGCCUUUUGUAUAAUACCCUUCUAGGGACCGAGGUACGCGCUUCUGCAAGGAUGCUGGCGUAAUGGUCAUCAGUCACC